AGACGAACCGGACAAACGUUAUUCGGAAUCACUGGGCUUAAAGAGUACGUAGGCGGCUUGGUAGGUUGGGUGUGAAAUCCCACAGCUCAACUGUGGAACUGCGCUCAAAACCACCAAGCUUGAGGGAGACAGGGGUGAGCGGAACUGAUGGUGGAGCGGUGAAAUGCGUUGAUAUCAUCGGGAACACCGGUGGCGAAGGCGGCUCACUGGGUCUCUUCUGACGCUGAGGUACGAAAGCUAGGGUAGCGAACGGGAUUAGAUACCCCAGUAGUCC
rnacentral:rRNA from 1 species